rnacentral:lncRNA from 10 species
GUCUGGUUACCUGAGCCAGGUCUGGGGCCAGGCAGCAUGCAUUCUAGUCCUGCCUGGGACACUCACUGGCCUCAAGAUCUUGGGCAAAACAGCUGACUGCUUUGCACCUCAGUUUCCUCAUCUGUAAGGUCCAGGACUACCCACUUCCCUUGGAAUGGUGUUGCCAUCACUGUUCUGGCACCGGAGAAAGGAUUCUACAUCGUUAGGAGAAAAGAAAAAGGAGAAUUUGGGCUUGCACUGAGAGGAUUACCUUUGGUGGUCUGGAAGUGGUGGCUGCACAGGGAGCAUGGCUGGGAGGCCUCAGGAAACUGACAAUCAUCAGUAGAAGAUGAAGAGGAAGGAGGCGCAUCUUACAUGGCCAGAGAAGGAGGAAGAAUAAGAAGGGGAGAGUGCAGAGAGGAGGCGAGACCAAGCCUGCCCAGAGUUGGAGUCUUGAGACGUGAGAUUCUCCAGCUGGAGCCCUAUAAAUUGGACUGACAAAAGACAGAUUAGCAAGAGAAAUGCAAGCAGCAGUUUAUUAACAUGUGCAUCAUGAUUACACAUGGAAGUACCCAGAGGUGAGUAACACAAAGGAGUGGUUAGAACUUGGGCUUAUAUACCACCUUAACAUAAAACACAGGAAAAGGGGUUUGAGGCUUCUGAGUGGGGGAGGCAAGUUAUGGGAUGGUGACCAGGAAAAGUAUGGUAGACAAGAGUUGUUUAGUAAGGUGUGUUAUGUGGAUUUAAAUCAGUACCUUCUUCAUUGAUAAGAGUUGUUAAGAGUACUCCUUUUCCUGGUAUGGGAGAGGGAGAUAUCUCCACAAAUCUAAAUUUCGUUUAUUAGGGGAAACCAUGUGCCCUGGUUUUAGAGCUUUUCCUGAGACUGCUGGUUCUUAAUGGCCUCGAGCUCAAAAUAAUCCAUA